GGAAGUAAAAGUCGUAGCAAGGUCUCCGUAGGUGAACCUGCGGAGGGAUCAUUACAGAGUUCAUGCCCUCACGGGUAGAUCUCCCACCCUUGUGUAUUCAUACCUUUGUUGCUUUGGCAGGCCGCUGGGCUUCGGCCUGGCCACCGGCUCCCGGGCUGGUGCGUGCCUGCCAGGGGACCUCCAAACUCUGUUUGUCAGUGUCGUCUGAGUAUUAUACAAUCGUUAAAACUUUCAACAACGGAUCUCUUGGUUCUG
rnacentral:misc_RNA from 1 species